rnacentral:piRNA from 1 species
UCCUCAGUCAGGAGAUCCCAGAAGGC